GCGCCCCCUGCCACGCCACGCCACGCGACGCGAACCCCCUCCCACCCUUGCCGCGGCAUGGCGCUACACGCUAGUUGAGCAGCUAAUCCCAACCCGAACCCCGUGCGCUGCUGCGCUCGCCCUCCCCUCCCACCCGCCUCUUCGUCUCGGCUCGAUUCGUUCCCCCCACUCGGUCUUCGUCUCCCUUCCCCCCUCCCUCACCCCUCGCGCCUCUCGCCAGCGCCGCGCUCUCGCGUCCCGGCCGCCGUUUCCACCAUUUCUCUGGGCCGCUUGCCUCGCCCCGCUCCUGUUUUCUCCGCGGAGGCGACAUGAGGUGAGGCGGGUUUUCUUCCGGGACUUCGCCCAGCUUCCGUGCGCGCAAAGAUCCGAGGGGAGAAGCGGGCGUGGGAAGCGCAGGACCGCGGGUGAUGCAGAGGGAGGUGGGGCCGCAGGUGGCCUCCCCGCUGUACCUGCACCAGAUCCAGCCGCUGCCUCCCCAUGCGGCGGCGGCGGCCAGGAAGCGCGGCAGCCCGUGGCCCGCCGUGGAGCCGCCGGAGAACGCCCCCAUUGGGGCCGGCGCCGCGGCCGGAGGGAACUGGAACCCCAGCAUGUGGGACUGGGACAGCCGCGCCUUCACCGCCAGGCCGUCCUCCGACGCGCUCCGCCUCGGCGGCGGGCUGAACCACCACCAUCACCACCAACAGCAGCAGCAGGCGCAGCCGCCGCCGGCGACGGCUGCCGAGGUGCGGCGGCAGGGGGGCGGGGGUGCCGGUGACCUGAGCCUUCAGCUGACCCUGCGGGAGGAGGCAUCGAUGGCGAUGGAUGUGAGCCCGACAACUACCUUGUCUUCUUCGCCUUCUCCGCCUGCACGGGCGUCACAGGAGCAGGCUGUUAGGCCUAGCAAGAGGGUUCGGUCUGGAUCGCCCGGAACUGCUUCUGGAGGAGGCGGCGGCGGUGGUGGCGGAGGGAGCGCUAGCGGAGGCGGCAGCUAUCCCAUGUGCCAGGUGGAUGAUUGCCGCGCGGAUCUGACCAGCGCCAAGGAUUACCACCGGAGGCACAAGGUGUGUGAGAUCCACAGCAAGACAACCAAGGCGGUAGUUGGCAACCAGAUGCAGCGCUUCUGCCAGCAGUGUAGUAGAUUUCAUCCGCUCUCGGAGUUCGAUGAGGGUAAGAGGAGUUGCAGGCGAAGGCUUGCCGGACACAACAGACGGCGGAGGAAAACCCAGCCAACAGAUGUUGCUUCACAAUUGCUGCUUCCUGAAAACCAAGAAAAUGCAGCAAAUAGGACACAAGAUAUUGUCAAUCUGAUCACUGUUAUUGCACGCUUGCAAGGUGGUAAUGUUGGUAAACUACCCAGCAUCCCUCCGAUACCGGAUAAAGAUAAUCUGGUCCAAAUCAUAAGCAAAAUAAACUCAAUCAAUAAUGCAAACUCCGUGGCAAAGUCUCCUCCAUCAGAAGCCAUUGAUUUGAAUGCCUCGCAGGGGCAACAACAAGAUUCUUCUGUCCAAAAUGCAACAAAGGUGGUCGACAAGCAGACUGUGCCAUCAACCAUGGAUUUGCUAACAGUUCUAUCUGGUGCUCUUGGGACAUCAACCCCCGAGACCAAUACAUCUCAGUCCCAGGGGAGCAGUGAUAGCAGUGGUAAUAACAAGAGCAAGAGUCAUUCAACAGAGCCAGCAUGUGUUGUAAAUUCCCAUGAGAAAUCCAUUCGACCUUUUCCCGCAGCUGGUAUGUUAAGGAGUAGCAGCACCCAUGGAAGUCCACCUGAAGUAUAUAAGCAGCCAGACCGAGAUACCCAUCCGUACUUGUCGCUGCAAUUGUUUGGUAACAAUGAGGACAUUCCUGUGAAAAUGGACACUGCAAAUAAGUACUUGUCUUCCGAGAGCAGUAAUCCUAUGGACGAGAGGUCUCCUUCAUCCUCUCCACCUGUAACACACACAUUUUUCCCCACUCGUUCAGUAAAUGAAGGCAUCAGGCAUCCUCGUAUUGCUGACUAUGGAGAAGAUGGUGCAACAGUUGAGAACAGUACCACUCGGGCAUGGUGCGCGCCACCGCUUGAGCUUUUCAAGGAUUCAGAACGGCCAACGGAAAAUGGGUCACCACCAAACCCCACAUACCAGUCAUGUUAUGCUUCAACAUCUGGUUCAGACCAUUCUCCAUCAACGUCAAAUUCAGAUGGACAGGAUCGUACUGGAAAGAUUAUAUUCAAGCUCUUUGGCAAGGAACCUGGCUCAAUCCCUGGGAACCUUCGUGACGAGGUUGUAAAUUGGCUGAAACACAGCCCCACUGAAAUGGAGGGUUACAUUCGCCCUGGUUGCCUUGUACUAUCCAUGUAUCUGUCAAUGCCAACUAUUGCAUGGGAUGAACUUGAAGAAAAUUUCCUCCAGCGAGUAAACUCGUUAGUUCAGGCUUCUGAUUUGGAUUUCUGGAGAAAAGGGAGGUUUUUAGUUCGAAGCGACAACCAGUUGGUGUCGUACAAAGAUGGAAUGACCCGCCUCUCAAAAUCAUGGAGAACAUGGAAUACCCCUGAGUUGACCCUUGUGACACCAAUUGCUGUUGUUGGUGGGAGAAAGACCUCUCUCGUUCUUAAGGGCCGUAAUCUAACGAUCCCGGGCACCCACGCGGGGAAGUAUAUAUCGAAAGAGGUACUAUGUUCAGCGUAUCCGGGUACCAUAUAUGAUGAUUCAGGAGUCGAGACCUUUGACUUACCGGGAGAACCAAGUCUUACUCUUGGGCGUUGCUUUAUUGAGGUUGAGAACAGGUUCAGAGGAAACAGCUUCCCUGUUAUUUUUGCGAAUAAAAGCAUCUGUCAGGAGUUAAGAAACCUUGAAGAUGAACUUGAAGAUUCGCGGUUUCCUGAUGUCUCUCCAGAUGAUCAGGUCCAUGAUGCUAGGCGGCUAAAGCCAAGGGAUCAAGUUCUGCAUUUUCUUAAUGAACUUGGCUGGCUCUUUCAGAAGGCCGCUGCAUGCACACCUUCCACCAAAUCAGAUGUUUCUCAUUCAGAGUUGAUUCAGUUCUCUACUGCACGGUUCAGACACCUUCUGUUGUUUUCAAAUGAGCGGGACUGGUGCUCCCUCACUAAAACACUACUCGAAAUUCUUACCAAGAGAAGUAUGGUUAGUGACGAGUUAUCACAUGAGACUCUGGAGAUGCUCUCCGAGAUUCAUCUUCUGAACAGGGCAGUGAAAAGGAAGAGUAGCCACAUGGUGCAUUUGCUUGUGCAGUUUGUUGUAAUUUGCCCUGACAAUUCCAAACUGUACCCUUUCCUUCCAAAUUAUCCCGGCCCUGGUGGUUUGACUCCAUUACAUCUAGCUGCAUCCAUUGAUGAUGCAGAGGAUAUAGUUGAUGCGUUGACAGAUGAUCCUCAACAGAUUGGUUUGAGCUGCUGGCACUCCGUGCUAGACGAUGAAGGGCUAUCUCCUGAAGUGUAUGCGACGUUCAGGAACAACGGCUCAUACAAUGAACUUGUCACGCGAAAGCUUAUGGACAGGAAGAAUAGCCAGGUUACCAUUGUGCUCAACAAAGGUGAAAUUCAUAUGGAUCAACCAGGGAAUGUUGGUGCGAAUAAUGCAUCUGGGAUCCAAGCAUUGGAAAUAAGAUCCUGCAACCAGUGCGCCAUUUUGGAGUCUGGCUUACUAAGACGCCCUAUGCGUUCUCGAGGAUUGCUUGCUCGCCCCUACAUCCAUUCAAUGCUUGCCAUAGCAGCAGUGUGUGUCUGUGUCUGUGUAUUCAUGCGAGCUUUGCUGCGGUUUAAUUCUGGUAGGUCCUUCAAGUGGGAGAGGUUGGAUUUCGGUCCCACAUAGACAUUGGAGGAUGCCUUAUUACUUAGCCGCGUGAUGUUAUUAAGGAAAUACCUUACAAGAACCAGAGGGUGUGGAACCAGAUUGCUUUUAACCUUUCCAGUUUCCAUGGAACUCUGCCCAUGGACAUGGAUGAUGAAAUGUAAUAUUUGCAUGGAUAAAACCUUGCCGGAAGAAAGUGUUGAUAUGUGGGGAUAAUCAGCAGCCAGCUUCUAAGGGCAGAGAAUCAAGAAAAGGGGGAUUGGAGAACCCUGCCAAAAGAUAAAACUUGGGCAGGGUUGGCACAUAGUAGUUUUGUGACGAGGGAGGAAGGUACAAGAGCUUGUCAAUGUCAAGAGCAAUAAGACAGAGGCAACAAUAGUUCUGUGCUUAAUCAGUAAGUAACCUUGAUUUCUUUUUUGCUGGUGUAAGUGUGAAUCUGCUGUUUCAUGUAUCAUAAGAUGGUAUUUAUUUAUCUUGGUCUCUGUUCUUACUAAAUCUUUUUUGUGUAUCCAAUACAGUGUUUCUUACUGUUUUGUCUUGUGUUUAGACGGUAGCAGGGGGAAGUAUAAAUGGUCGAUAGUGUCAGUAGCUAAAUAGGAAUGAGGCAGAUUUACAUGUGUAUCCGGAUCUAUUGGUUUAUUCGAUUACCAUAACAACUCUGGAGUUCCCGUUUUGAUAGAAAGCCUGGGUAUCUUUUUUGUUCUGU
rnacentral:rRNA from 1 species